CUCUGAAAAUGAAAAGGGAUCUCAACUUUUCUCUUCCCGCUCCAGCUGCACUAUGUAUCCGUGCUUGGCUCUCAGUUGUUGGAUUCUCAUGUCUCCUUUUUCACAGUGGCUCAGGUGGAAGAGUAAACUGUUCCUGUUUCUCCAUCUUGACAGGAAGCAGAAGUUCUCCUUAGCUGAUUUUUCUUCUUGCCUUAUACUGGGUUCUUUAACACCAGAACAAAAAUAAAUAAAUAAAAGAAUCUUCCAGAAAUUCAUGAAGAGACUUCAGGUCAGGAAAGCCUGAACUUUCUCAUCCAACACCCGUUCAAGUCGGAGGAUGCUGAUUAAUUCAUGAUGGAAAGGUAUCAAUUUCACAGCCCAGACCUCUACAUUCUUGAAAUGCUCUUCUCAUGGGAGACAUUAAAUAAGCUUUGAAUUAACUUGCCAUGACACCCAGGAUGCAGCUGUAGGAACACCACUGGGUCCCUGGAUGUCAUGUAAGCCCUUAAGUAAAAGUGCCAUCAAAUGAUUUCUCAGAAAUUAUAAAGAAACAAAAGGACCAUAAACAAGAUAAGGUGGCAUGAGGAAACAUUACAAGUACCUUUCAGAGCUGACUGGCAAAGAAACUCCUGAGGUGACGGUUCUACCCCAAUAUUACUUCUUCGAAGAGCAACCUAACUGACCUUGUAUUGAAGACAGCGUAACCCCCAAGAGGAAAGGAGCUUGGAGCCCUGAAUCAGAGUAGAAGACAGGCUGAAUGAAUACCAGCCUUGGACUGUUGUGUGAAUGAAAAACAAGUUUUGAGAUUUGUGUGGUUUAUUUAUUAUAGUUACUGUUAUUAUUAAAGUUUUUCACUGCUUUACUCUCA
ensembl:lncRNA SATB1-AS1 SATB1 antisense RNA 1